rnacentral:rRNA from 1 species
UAAAGUGGCGAACGGCUGAGUAACACGUGGGCAACCUGCCCUUUGCACUGGGAUAGCCUCGGGAAACCGAGGUUAAUACCGGAUACUCCAUAUUUGUCGCAUGGCGAAUAUGGGAAAGCUCCGGCGGCAAAGGAUGGGCCCGCGGCCUGUUAGCUAGUUGGUGGGGUAGUGGCCUACCAAGGCAAUGAUGGGUAGCCGGGUUGAGAGACCGACCGGCCAGAUUGGGACUGAGACACGGCCCAGACUCCUACGGAGGCAGCAGCC